rnacentral:lncRNA from 1 species
UGGCAUUUUACCAAUUUUUCCGUUAAUUUCUUCUUUUUGUUCAGGGUUCAACUUGGGGUACCACAUUGCAUGGAGUUGCCAUGUCUACCAAGUCUUCUCCAGUCUAUAAUAGUUUCUCAGUCAUAGACUGGCUUAAGGAGUACAAGUCAGGCAUUCUGGGGGAUGUCUCCCUAUCCGGUGCUCACAGAAAUCAUAGACAUUUCUAUGAAGAAUAAAGGUGAUUCCCUAAGGAUGAUCGAGAACCUCCAGCUAAGAUAUUUAAAUGUGGCUACAGAAGAGUGGAUUUACUGAAAACUGACAUAAAAGUGAGCUGCUUCAGAAAUUUUAUGUGCAGGGCUUUCUGUUAUCUGGAGCUAAUCACCAAGGAGCCACCACUGCAAAAGCCAUCAGAUUCCAGGGCAGAUACAUGAGGAAAAUUGGCAGAAGGAGCAGGAAGACGUGCUUCUGUUUCCAAGCAGUCCUGAAAAUUUCAUUAUCAGCUCAUAUCUGUUACCGUUAAGAUGUUAAGAGGGAGAUUAUCAUUUGCAAAGUAAAAGCUUUCUGUGUUACCCCACAAUAAUUGAUUUUCUUUUUCAUUAAAAUUCUUAAUACCUGGCACUCCAGAAAAGUUGAAAAGGCUUUUGUAAAGCUUUAUUGGCAGAUAACAUAUGCCCACAAAAAAAGAACAAAUGCAAAUUUCACAUAUAUAUAUCAUGAUGAUAAUUCAAUAGAUCUUGGCCCUCUAAGUAUGACUAAAAUAUGCCACUAUGUUUCAGCAGCAUUACCAAGUUAAACAAGGGUAACUAUUUAAAAAAAAAAAAAAAAAAGCAGCUCCACACAAAAACAUUUUAGUCUUGUAAAAGAAGGAAAACAAUGUUCAAGGAUCUCAGUAUCAUUUUGCAAGAUAUUCUGUAAAUCAGUAUCUGAGACUCUGAAAUACACUUCACAAUAUAUGUAACAUUUUGGAACUCAAACACAAAAACUGCAUCUUUCUUAAAACUUGUUUGAAUCCCAAGUCUGAUGAUAGCCCUUUCUUAACACCCUACAGUGAAGAUGUACUCAUCUGAGUGAUACUAUGCUACAGAACUGUUUGCACACUGGCAGUAUUUAGUCAUUAGUGUGAAUUAUCUAUGGGUAAUGAUUUCAAGAGUAUAAAGAAACCAUGUUUGAUAACUGAGAUUCUGCAAUAAGAGUCAAUGUUCUAAAAGUUAAUGUUGAAUAGGAAAUAUUCUCAAUUGGUUAGGGGGAAGCACAGCAGGAACAGAUAAGACAAUGAAUACAAUUUUCUCAAUUUUAAGGAUUUUUCCCCCCUCCCAUCAAGCUCUCUUAAAUCUUUUACAUCUGCUUAUGAUUUAAGUGCAGGGCAUCAGUACUGGCAGAAGAACUGCAAAUUAGUGGGUCUAAUGUGCAGUGGUUUAGUUUUUAGGGAAGUGUUUGUUUAUCACUGUGGCUUUUUUCAGACUUUGUUUUACUGCAUGAAUAUUUAAUUAAAUUGAGCAUCCCUAAGUACCAUAAACAACCAAAUUAUUUAAGUUUGUGCUAACUACAUUCAUAAUAUCAUUACACGUAAUGCUCUUUCAUUAUGUCCUGAAGGGAACACUGCAACUUCCAGGUGGUUCAACACUCGAACAACUUCAGAAACCAUUGAACUAUAAAAGCGCCAUUUCUUCACAUUAAGGCUUUUAGCCCAAUUAAAAAGCAGCAUCAGUGGGAACUAUUGUUACUCCCAGUGCCAGUCAUUUACAGCUGAAUGAAUUUAUGAAUUACCUUUCUGUUAUUCUCUAGCACUCUGUUUAUUUUAUAAUGUUUUUAAAAUAACUGUAAUUAGUUGUUAUUUAAACACUUUUUCUGUCUCUCUCCCCCACUAGACAGUAAGUUCUCAAUUGUAUCUCUAGGCUCAGCAUGUCACAAAGUGAGAGCUCAGUAAAUAUUUGUUGAUUGAUUAAAUUUAUUUGAUAGAAAGAAAUCUGUGUACCAACAUCUAGUCUGUUUUUCUUUUUU